rnacentral:rRNA from 1 species
AUUGAACGCUGGCGGCAUGCCUUACACAUGCAAGUCGAACGGCAGCACGGGGGCAACCCUGGUGGCGAGUGGCGAACGGGUGAGUAACAUAUCGGAACGUGCCCUGGAGUGGGGGAUAACUAGUCGAAAGAUUAGCUAAUACCGCAUACGAUCUACGGAUGAAAGUGGGGGAUCGCAAGACCUCAUGCUCGUGGAGCGGCCGAUAUCUGAUUAGCUAGUUGAUGGGGUAAAGGCCUACCAAGGCAUCGAUCAGUAGCUGGUCUGAGAGGACGACCAGCCACACUGGGACUGAGACACGGCCCAGACUCCUACGGGAGGCAGCAGUGGGGAAUUUUGGACAAUGGGCGCAAGCCUGAUCCAGCAAUGCCGCGUGAGUGAAGAAGGCCUUCGGGUUGUAAAGCUCUUUUGUCAGGGAAGAAACGGUGAGGGCUAAUAUCCUUUGCUAAUGACGGUACCUGAAGAAUAAGCACCGGCUAACUACGUGCCAGCAGCCGCGGUAAUACGUAGGGUGCAAGCGUUAAUCGGAAUUACUGGGCGUAAAGCGUGCGCAGGCGGUUGUGCAAGACCGAUGUGAAAUCCCCGGGCUUAACCUGGGAAUGGCAUUGGUGACUGCACGGCUAGAGUGUGUCAGAGGGGGGUAGAAUUCCACGUGUAGCAGUGAAAUGCGUAGAGAUGUGGAGGAAUACCGAUGGCGAAGGCAGCCCCCUGGGAUAACACUGACGCUCAUGCACGAAAGCGUGGGGAGCAAACAGGAUUAGAUACCCUGGUAGUCCACGCCCUAAACGAUGUCAACUAGUUGUCGGGUCUUAAUUGACUUGGUAACGCAGCUAACGCGUGAAGUUGACCGCCUGGGGAGUACGGUCGCAAGAUUAAAACUCAAAGGAAUUGACGGGGACCCGCACAAGCGGUGGAUGAUGUGGAUUAAUUCGAUGCAACGCGAAAAACCUUACCUACCCUUGACAUGGCAGGAAUCCCGGAGAGAUUCGGGAGUGCUCGAAAGAGAACCUGCACACAGGUGCUGCAUGGCUGUCGUCAGCUCGUGUCGUGAGAUGUUUGGGUUAAGUCCCGCAACGAGCGCAACCCUUGUCAUUAGUUGCUACGAAAGGGCACUCUAAUGAGACUGCCGGUGACAAACCGGAGGAAGGUGGGGAUGACGUCAAGUCCUCAUGGCCCUUAUGGGUAGGGCUUCACACGUCAUACAAUGGUACAUACAGAGGGCCGCCAACCCGCGAGGGGGAGCUAAUCCCAGAAAGUGUAUCGUAGUCCGGAUUGCAGUCUGCAACUCGACUGCAUGAAGUUGGAAUCGCUAGUAGUCGCGGAUCAGCAUGUCGCGGUGAAUACGUUCCCGGGUCU